rnacentral:lncRNA from 1 species
CACAAAGUGCCAGAUAUAAUCUUCUCGUAUAUGCUCACGCAACUCUGUUUUCCAUCAGAUAUACAGUACACCUAUGCCAGCCAUCGCAUAUGUGUUUUCUCCAGCAUGUUGCCACACCAGUGAGUAAAAAAUUCACAGAUACAAAGCCUUUUUAUUAAGAGUUAUCCAUAUGUGGUAAUAUGGAACUGCUACUUUUCUGCUACACUCAUACUUAGCCAUAGCUCAUUUCUCAUUGUGUAUUCUACGUGGACUCUCUUUCAGUGCCUUUUGGGUCUCAUAAAGGUCCUGAGUUUGGAAAAAGUCAAAUUCCAUCAUAUUUACUUAAAACUGCCAUUGACUGAGUAAGAACUACAGGAUGGGUGCAAGAUCAGCACUAUAGAAGUAUCCCUGAGGUAAUCUUGGCCAUAUUGGACACUCACUUAAACACCUGGAAAAUCCCCAUAUAGAUGAUAAGAUUCUGAUCAUCCCUUCCCUCUCGUUGGCCAGAAAGUUCUUGAUCAUUCAUUGGAGCUGAUGUAUCCUGCUCUCACUGUGGUGUAGAAAGCAGUCUAUUACAGUGCUGGAUUAAUCAAAGAGGCCUUUAUGGUUCGUGAAAGAAUAUCUAUGUGCUUAGACAGGAAACUUUUUGAUCCACUGAAAAGCCAGACGACAUCUAGGACCAGACAGGACAAUUUUAGACUCACACUUAUUGUGAUAUCCUCAGUGGUAAGUACCUUAACUGCAAUCAAGUUUACUGCAUUUUUUUUGUUGAGGAAAGGCCUCUUUUAAGAUCACAGUUGCUGCAGCUUAAUCACAUACCUUUGUAUGUAGUUCUUGAAUAAUAGGAUAGUAAUGUGAUAUACUGUAUAAUGCAAAUCAGAGCAAAGCACAAGUGGUUGCUAGCAUUUGUG